GGCCCGAGCGCCGGCGCCGGCGGGGCUGAGGCGCGCGGAAGCCACUCUUACACAGGCAGCGCCGGGCACAAGUUAGUUCCUCGGCUCCGGGGCCUCGGCGCCGCGGGGACGAAACGCCGAGGGCGCCGAGGAGGAGGGGAGGGGGGCGCCGAGGGGCACAAGAGUGGGGAAAAGUGCGGAAAGAAGCAACAGCCGCUCCCCCGGAGCCCAGAAAAGUGGACGCCGCGUCCCGGCCGCCCGCCUGCGCCGGGGAUGCGGCGGCGGCGGCGGCUAACGGUCCAGCGAGGCGGCAGGGGCGGCGGGAGCCGCUAGGCGGAGAAACCAGUUUUCUCAGUUGGAGCCCCUCGCCUCUGUGCCUGGAAGGAGUUGCAGGUGUGUGUGAGGAGAGAGUGGUCACCCACAGGGCUCCGGCGCAGCUCGGGGGGCCCUCAGGAUACCAUGUCACCAAGAGUCAGCAGCCAAUGCCACGUAAUAGUUUUGUGAAGAUUUGUUUAGUUAAAACUAGAUGACACUGUUUGGCAUUCCAGUUCACCAAGAAGAGCUCACUGCAAGUGUUACAAGAUGCUGAAAGCAGGGGUGGCUUUGUCCCUUUCUUUCCUGCUGUGGAAUCAGGACUCUGUUUUCCACUGGACCGGAAAUAAGGAACAGAUAAUGUCGUGGAUACCGUCCUGUGCUGUCUGGUCCCCCUUCAGGAAGGAGCGACUUCUCCCGCAGCUGCUGGGGAUGUACUAGAAGGCCCUUACCGUCGACCCCCUUUGGGGAUUGCCUCAGCUGAAGAAAACUGCCUCAGCCCAGGCCCACCUCCUCCCAGGACCACCCAGCUUCCAGUGCCCGAUCCAUGGGGCAUGAAGGCCUGGCCCCUCCUCCCAUCUUGGAGCAGCUCUGAGGGGCCAUCCAGCUUCUGACUCCCCAGGGGUUGGCUUUGCUGGGAAUCCAUCGCAGACCAACUUCUCCCUCCAUCCAAUCCUGCUUCCCCCCUCCCCUCCACAGGAGCACCCCCUAACAGAUGUUCUGUACACGAGUCUCACCUCAGAGAAUCUGCUUCCCAGAAGACCCACCUGCCACAUAGGGAAGUCAAACAAGCCAAAACAGUGUGCAAAGGAAAAUAAGCACACCUGUGCUUGCGGAUGCAUCCAGAGAUGGUCCUGAGUGUGUGAAUGUGAAAGAAAUGAAAGCAGAUCCACAAGCCAGGUCUGGUUUUAAUCAGAGUCUAAUCUUUAUGAGACAACACAAGGCUGAGAAUUUUUUAAUCUGAUAUUUUGAAAGAAAAAUCCGUGUUCCAAAAUGAUACAAACCAACGAGCCUUAGAAGAACGAUGGAGAAAAGAAAUCUCUUGCAUAAAAGAGAAGCAGGAAAUUCCAGAGAAGUUUCACAGUGAGGAGGGGAAAACCCAAGGUGUAAAGAUAAUUCAGAAGAAAAUACAAAGUUUUCAACUAACGCAGAUGAAACAGUUGGAUAUUCUUAUGCAAAAAAUAAUUCCAGUCCAAUCCUGGCACUUAUACGAAAAGUAAGUCAAAAUAGAUUGGAGAUCUACCUGUAAAAACUAAAAUUACAAAAUUUCUAGAAGAAAACAUAGGAGAAAAUCUUUGUGGCCUCAGGUUAGGCAAAGAUUUCUUUUACAUUCAACGGCAAAAGAAUAAUACACACACAUACAAAAUUGAUAUAUUGGACUGCCUCAAAAUUAAGAAAUGUUGUUCAAAGGGCACUGUUAAAAAGUGAAAAGAGAAGCCAGAGAGUAGAAGAAAAUGCUUAUAAAUCACAUAUCUGAUAAAGAACUGGUAUCCACAAUAUAUUAAUAACUCCCAAAACUCAGCAAUAAGAAAACAAACAACUGUAUUUUUUAAAUGAGCCAAAGAUUGGAACACACAAUUCAUCAGAGAAGAUAUACAGACAGCAAAUAAACACAUGAAGAGAUACUCAACAUCAUUAUGCACUAUGGAAAUGUACAUUAAAACCAUAGUGAGAUACUGUUGUGUGCCUAUUUGUACGUCUAUAGUUAAAAAGACUGACCCUGUGAAUUGCUGGUUAGGAUGCGAACGAACUAGACCUCUGACACACAAUGUAAAAUGGCACAAGUACCUGGAAAACAGUUUGACACUUUCUUAAAUAGUUAUAAACACACACUUUCCAUAAGAUCCAGGCUUUCUCCUUCUGGAUAUUUAUCCAGGCGAGAUAAAUGCCUAUGUCCAUACGAAGACGUGUAUACAAAUAUUUAUAGCAGACUUGUUUGUAAUAGCCUUAAGUAAUGAAUUAACUAAUGAAUUAAAAGGAAACCAAGCACAAUCCAAAUGGUUAUAUCAUCAGGUGAAUGGAUAAACAAAUUGUGGCACAUCCACACAAUGGAAUAGUACUUAGCAAUGAAAAAGGAACGAACUGUUGACACAUGGAAGGACGUGGAUAAAGCUCAAAAUAAUCAUGCUGGCGAGGAAGCCAAAGAAAAAUCAGCACAGACUGUAUGAUUCCAUUCAUACCAUAAACUGACCUCUGGGGACAGAAGGCAGUCCUACUAGGAAUGAAGAGGUCACACAGUGGACGCACACCUCAACCCAAGGACCGCUUUCAUGGGAAAUAAAAUGCCAAGACAGAUGUAUGGGUGGAAACCUCCACUUAGAGGAGGCAGAAGGUAUCUCCUGCUGACUGUGUCUUCACACCUCGGCAACACACCUGUGAGCAAAGUCACAAGGAAGAGUGCAGAGUGCGAGACUCAGCCCGAUGAGUGCAUCCUUUUCUGUGCCAUCCAGCUUAACCUCUGACACACUCUUAACAGUGAAGCCCCUCAAAUGACUAACUGCAAACACAGGUGGGAUUGUCAUCAUGUCCUAUAGGUCAGGAAGAUUGGGCUUUACAGGACUGACAGCAGGAAUUGUUCCAAAAUCAACUGUCCUCCUCGGAGAAUUCCCCGUCAGCUGUCAAAGAAGGCUGGCUCCGUUGAAUUCAGCCCUUGAAGAGUGCAAAGGGGAGAGAAGAGCUCUCAGAGACGAAAAGCAGACCUCGCAGGAUUUUACGGCUUAAGACCAAUACCUUCCCCUGCCCUCGGAGCCAUUAGGGAAGCCAGCAGCAUCUGGGGCCCAGAUGUUCUGAGCAGAUCUCCCUCUGGGCAGAGGCUGGCCUAGUCUUCCCUGGAGCUCAGAGCAGGUCACGAGAGAAAGGAGUCUUGCCCCGGCCAGGGAAGUGGAAGUGCAGCUCCUGGCCACAGCCUUUUAUCUAGGCUGGAGCCUUGAGUUCAAGGUUUCUCCCAUUUCCUACCCUUGGAAGGCAAGGCAAUUCCUGUUGCCUGGUGGAGUGAGGAUAAAAUGGGACAGGGGAUGGGAAGAGCACUGAUUGUGUGGCUUAUAAAAUCCCUGUGGCAGAAAACACUGUUGUGAACUCACCCAAAGCUAUUUCUCAGACUCCUUGGUAGCCAGGUGGGGUCAUGUGACCGAGCCUUGGCCAAUGGGAUGUAGGUGGAAGUGAGUGACGUGCAUCACUUCUGUGCCUGGCCCAGAAAGCACACCUGGGCCAUCUCGCAAUCCCACUCCCCAGGCUUCUGGUCACAUGCAUAGGAUCCGCAGACAAACCCCCAGCUGACGGGGAUGGGGGCCCACCCGAUGGAAGGAGCUCAGAUCCCUCAUCAGCCUCACAGAAGGCCACCUGCCUAGUGGUCUCGGAUUGUGCUGGAAUGCAGACUAGAGCUCUGACUGUGCCAAACCGUCUCAGAGCUUGUCGUCCCAUCAAGCACUGUUUACCCUACUUAACACAGGCUCGGAAUGUGUCCCAGAGAAAGCAACUGAGAGGGUGACCGGAACCUGGGGCAGGGGUGGGGAGCCAGGGGUAGCAAAUACGUUUAGAGAGGUGGCUCACAAUGUCCAGGUGGCAUGUGGUCUGCCGCUCACUUAACGACCCUCCCUUAUCAAUGCUUUUAUGCUCUGGAUGAACCUCUGUGAGGCUGCCCGGGUGCCCCUCACCUCUGGCUGGCUGUCAGGAUCUAUACAGACAGCCAAGGAGGCAUAUUAAACAGACCUCAGGGAGUUCAGGAUCUGAAAGAAAUUAGCCCAGGCAAAUCACCACCGAGUACAUUUUUCUUUUUUAGAAGACAACAUUGGCAAACACAAGCCACACCAUCUCUUGAAACCUGUGUGUUCACUGCCCUUGAAUGCAUCCAUGGUGGAUGGUUGACAAGUGUAGGGACGGCUGGUGAAUGUACAGCAGGUUAAUAUCAAUUUUCAUUGGCUUGGUAAUUAACCUGUGAGAUUUUUUUCUAUAUGAGCUCUACAGUGUUCUUAUUCCAGAGAUGGCAAUCAUUUUAGAUAAAUUUUAUUUUAUUAUUAUUAUUUUUUGCGGUGUGUGGGCCUCUCA